GCUGGGCAUGGUGGCACGUGCCUGUAAUCCCAGCUACUUGGGAGGCUGAGGCUGGGGAAUCGCUUGAACCCAGGAGACAGAGGUUGCAGUGAGCUGAGAUCACGCCACUGCAUUCCAGCCUGGGUGACAGAGCGAGACUCCGCCUCAG
rnacentral:SRP_RNA from 1 species